UGGGGAAUGCCUAGGCUCUCAGAGGCGAUGAAGGACGCGAUAAGCUGCGAAAAGCUGUGGGGAGGUGCACAUAACUUGUGAUCCGCAGAUAUCCGAAUGGGGCAACCCACUAUAUUGAAGGUAUAGUAUCCCGUAAGGGAAGUGAACCCGGUGAACUGAAACAUCUAAGUAGCCGGAGGAAGAGAAAACAAAAGUGAUUCCGGGAGUAGUGGCGAGCGAAACCGGAUUAGCCCAAACCAGUGUUGUUUCGGCAAUACUGGGGUUGUAGGACCACGACAUUGAUUGCGUAAUGAAUUAGAACACUUUGGAAAGAGUGACCGAAGAGGGUGAUAGUCCCGUACAAGUAAAGAGCGUUAAUUAUAGUGGUAUCCUGAGUAGUGCGGGGCACGUGAAACCCUGUAUGAAUCAAGCGGGACCAUCCGUUAAGGCUAAAUACUCCUGAGAGACCGAUAGUGAACCAGUACCGUGAGGGAAAGGUGAAA
rnacentral:rRNA from 1 species